rnacentral:misc_RNA from 1 species
ACGUAUCCACGUAUCAACCCCUCUGUGCAAACUCUAACUCGAAAGGUUUGGUCUUAGUAUGUUGUUCGCAUGGGUCCUAACGAUGGCGGUUCUUCACGGAACCGAGGGCUCGAGCAGCAUGUGUUUGACGAUCAGCCGCUACUUUCCCAUUGUUGGCCCCUUUUAUCUCAUUAACCCCUUUGUACUCUUUUGUACUGAACCAAUUCUUCGACGCUCUUUACUGAGUGACGAAAGAUAUUACGAAACUAAAGAACAACUCUUAGCAACGGAUAUCUUGGUUCC